AGCGUAGGCGGAUUUUUAAGUGAGAUGUGAAAUACUCGGGCUUAACCUGAGUGCUGCAUUUCAAACUGGAAGUCUAGAGUGCAGGAGAGGAGAAGGGAAUUCCUAGUGUAGCGGUGAAAUGCGUAGAGAUUAGGAAGAACACCAGUGGCGAAGGCGCUUCUCUGGACUGUAACUGACGCUGAGGCUCGAAAGCGUGGGGAGCAAACA
rnacentral:rRNA from 2 species